GGAUGGGUGGCAGAGCGGUCGAUUGCGACGGUCUUGAAAACCGUUGUGGGGGCAACUCCACCGGGGGUUCGAAUCCCUCCCCAUCCGCCA
rnacentral:tRNA from 1 species